rnacentral:misc_RNA from 1 species
GAUGAAGAACGCAGCGAAAUGCGAUAAGUAAUGUGAAUUGCAGAAUUCAGUGAAUCAUCGAAUCUUUGAACGCACAUUGCGCCCGCCAGUAUUCUGGCGGGCAUGCCUGUUCGAGCGUCAUUUCAACCAUCAAGCCCCAGGCUUGUGUUGGGGACCUGCGGCUGCCGCAGGCCCUGAAAACCAGUGGCGGGCUCGCUGUCACACCGGGCGUAGUAGAUUUUAUCUCGCUCAGGGCGUGCUGCGGGUUCCGGCCGUUAAAAAGCCUUUUUUACCCAAGGUUGACCUCGGAUCAGGUAGGAAGACCCGCUGAACUUAAGCAUAUCAAUAAGCGGAAGA